UAUUCAACUGCGUGCUUGAUUUGAAUUCAGUAGGAUCAUCGGAUUCCACGAGGGGGCGUACUUUGUCGCAUUCGCGCCGGUGUUCGAAAUCUCCAGUCCUGGUUCGCGAAUCCGUUCGGUCCAGACGGAAGAUAUUCACUUCAGUUUGCAGAGCGAAGCAACGUGGAGAAGAAUGGGCGUUCCGUCUCCAUCGUUGCUGCUGCGUAGAGAUUCUUAAACGACGAAACGCGUUCAUACAGUCGUAUUGCGAGAAUAAUAGCAAGUGUAGUCAGAAAGCUACAACAUAUACCGAACGAACGCACGUUUUGCAAAUUAACUAAUAAAUGUGUCCCCGUGAACGUGUUUGCUGAAAUCGAGAUCAUCCCGGCGUGAGGACGAUCCACGUUUAAUAUUGAUUUUAAUGUGACACAUUUUCGUUAAUUUAUUAAUUUAUUCAAUUCUAUAUAUUAAUUUUUCAUUCAAUUAACGUCCAUUUUCACGCCUCUCUAUACGACAGCCAAAUCGUCCUUUGUUUCUGUAACGAAAACGUCGUAAGAAGAUCAUUCGUCGAAAAAUCGUGUUCAGUUUUCUCACGAACUUCGUGCUAGAAGAUUCGUGUUAACUGUACGGUUUUUUGUAAUUCCUUCGUGAAUUGCUUGAUAAUCGUCGUGCAUAAUCGCGAAAAAUCAGACAAACCACACGUCGAUAUGCCUACUCUGCUGCAACAGUUAGCAAUGUCUUACGAUGCUGAAGGAAACACUAAAGACACGCUAGAUCGCAACGAAACCAUUAAUAUGCAACCAAAGCAACAACCGCGUGAGCGGGAUCCCCUGCAGUUGCAGCAUCGUGAUCUAGACCAGCUGCAGCUACGACAACGAGACAGAGAGCAAAUGCAACAACAGCAUCGAGAGCGCGAACAGCAACAGAGGGAACGUGAGAAGCUGCAGCUUCAACAGCGUGAACAACUGCAGAUUCAUCAGCGCGGGCAGCAGCAGCUGCAACACAGGGAGCAGUUACGUGAACAGGAACGCGAACGCGAGCAGCUUCAUCAAUUGCAAACAAUUAAUAAUCUUUUGCUGGACCUUACACCAGCGUCUUCGACUUCGUUUCUUCAGGGCCAAUCGCGUGACACUUCCGGUGCAGCGAACUUGAAUUCUGGAGUUGACGGAGAUAUGUCGAUUUCCGAUUUAUUCGGAUUAGGAUUACCUCGCGGUUCUCUGAUGAGUGAACAAUUAUCAAGCGGCUCGUCGAGCUUUCGUCAUCAUCAAUAUCGUCCCCAGCGACACAAUCAAUCAUUGAGUCAUCAGCAUUAUCAGUGCGACGAUAGUCAUGGCUACUAUGGGUCAACAAAUCUGGAUAUGCCAGGCUCACCGAAUUCAUUGGCUACUCCAGGCACACCGAGCACUCCAGGAAGUGUGUACUCCAAUCCCUACACAUAUGACGCUGGAGCAGGAAGCAAUGCACACACAUCUUCUCCGAACAAUCGUUCCUAUUUGCAACACCUGGGAGGCUCACCCUCCUCGCCAAUCCACUCACAGUAUUAUGGAAGGCCUAUUCGUGGUUCGCCACCAUACAGUGACUGUGGUAGCCCUACAAUGGAAUACGCCAAUCGUUCGCUAGGAUGUGGUGGCUCACGUUCGAAUUCCCCAGCUGAUUCAGAGAUCAGUGGAGUCAGCAGCAUGGACAGUUCGCUAUCUGAUAUUAUGAAUUCUCUGUCGCUGGGUUCUACAACGCAUUCAUGCUACUCCCCUUCAUUGGGAUCACUUGUCUCGACGGACAUGGACAUGUGCAAUGGAAGCAGAGCUGCUGCGUAUCAACGACUGGCUGCCAAGAAGUACCUAUCUUCUCCAUCGCAGUAUCAUCAGCACCAACCCUCAUCGAAUUGUUGGCCAACUGGAAAUCCACGGUUCAUGUCAUGCGCCUCGAAUUCAUUUCCACCUGAAUCGCCUAUCUCGCUCGAUCGAGCUGCACGUUUUCAUCGGAAUGCCGCUGCUGUCUGCAAUCCCACCUGCACCUGGAGUGGCGUUUUACCUAAUCGCACUCAGAAACCUUCGGGAUACUCUUCCAAGGUGUUCCUCGGUGGAGUCCCCUGGGAUAUCACCGAAUCUAUGUUGGUUGCAACAUUCAAACAAUUUGGUCAGAUACGCGUGGAGUGGCCUGGUAAAGAUCAAUCAGCUUCGCAACCGAAAGGAUACGUGUACAUUAUAUUCGAAUCCGAAAAACAGGUGAAGGCAUUACUCGCUUCUUGCACUCAUGACUUUACUAAUGGCGGCAGCUGGUAUUACAAGAUCUCUUCGAAACGAAUGAAGGGCAAGGAAGUCCAAGUGAUUCCGUGGAUACUGAGUGACAGUAACUACGUCAAAUCUUCAUCGCAAAAAUUGGAUCCACACAAGACUGUAUUUGUAGGGGCCCUUCAUGGUAUGUUGACAGCUCAGGGACUGGCUAAGAUCAUGAAUGAUCUUUUCAAAGGCGUCAUUUAUGCCGGAAUUGACACUGAUAAAUACAAGUAUCCUAUUGGUUCGGGGCGUGUGACAUUUAGCGACAGCCUCUCCUACAUGGACGCCGUGUCAGCUGCGUUCAUUGAAAUCAAGACCGUGAAAUUCACAAAAAAAGUUCAAGUCGAUCCUUAUAUAGAGGAUUCCGUGUGCUCCAUAUGUUCUGUGCAGCAGGGUCCUUAUUUCUGCCGUGAACCGUUGUGCUUCAGAUACUUCUGUCGUAGCUGCUGGCAGUGGCAGCACGCGGUAGAGCCAAUGCGUCGACACAACCCACUGUCACGUAAUUCCAAAACUAACCGGGUAGUUGGAUUGACAUCCAGCGUCGGUGUGAAUGGCGGCGGUGACGAUAUGAAACCUACGUUCUUCAGCAACAUCAUGAUUUAAUUGGUGCGCUCGUGAGCGCACGACGCAGUCAAAAUCUAAGUCGAUGCAAGCGCGACAUUAACUCCGCGUUCGGUUGAAUUAUUUUUCUUUUUUUUUUUUUUGACUACUUAUUCCGUGCACGGACGUUGCACCUUAUUAUGUGAUUUGUUUUCCGGUGCGGUGCAAACUGAGUUUUUAUCGUAGGGCAGCUGGUCUGACGAUGCAGUAGUAAUAAUAGAGAAAUGCCUAAUUUGGCAGUUGGUUGUUGGCAGCACAACGAUUAAUUGUUCGUUAUCGUUAUUAUUGUGCGAUUUAUAUUUGUCAAUCGCGAGAUAAGCCGGGUAGUUGAUAGGAAGAAUCGUGAUUAAUUCAAGUUCCUAUGUAUAACGCGAGUGACGCCGCGUUGUGGACGUCACCGUGAACGAAAGUGCUUUUAUUUGGUACAUAUUAUUUAUAGGGACUGGCUCUCUCACUCGUUAAUACUAUUCUUUUUUUAUCCUUAAGAAGUAGAGUUGUCGAUGGUACUUAAAACCGACGCCAGAUCAUGCGGCGAUCGAUACGUAUAAGAAAAAAAAACCAAACAAACAAGCGUACGAAGUUUUGUUUAAUUGUCGGCUAGAUCAAACUUUUAUACUGACAAUACUUUUUUACGUGAUAAAAUGGCGAGUCAAAAAUGAAUAACGACGUCGUAAAAAUGAAACAAAAAAAUUUGUCUUUGUACCAAUCGACCAAUCAUUAAUUAAUUAAUCGAUUAAUUAAUUUCUCUAAUCGGCAUUGCGAACAUCGUAUUAUUAUUUAUAGAUUAUUACAAAAAUAAUUAAGUAUUCGCGAUCGGUGGAAUCUGAACGCAGACCUCUUUGUUGUUCGUUAAUUUCCACCAUACAGAUAUCCAUUAUUGAAUCGAUUUUUCGAUUAAUUCCUAUUUGAAAUCAAUUACUUCCAAUUUUUUCAAAAGGUUGCGCCCGCGUCUGCAUCGAAAUGAUUGAUAAGCGAUGCUGCGUUUAUUUUGUACAGCUAUUAUUAAUUGAUACCACCGAUUUAGCAGGCCACUAAAAUCCCAUCAUAGGUCCCACUACUUGUCCCCCAAUUAAAGAUAGUUAAUAUAUCGUAUUGCCUUCCGUUAUAGUUUUACGUUAGAUUGUACAGUGCAGAGGCGAUAAUUAUUAAUAAUAACAACGGAGGAUACUCAAACACGCUAUAAGCCUCAAAAUGGCUAUAAAAAUUAUACCAUUAGUAGUCGGAGCUCGUGGCUCACUGGACUGUUUAAACUGUUGACGAAAUGGAGUAGUACCCGGUCUACGAUUCUGGAUUGGAUUGUAGUGAAUCGAUUAUGCUUUUAUUUUUUGUUACGAUAUUAUUAUUAUUAUUAUUA